rnacentral:rRNA from 1 species
UGCGUAGGCGGCCUGACAAGUCAGAGGUGAAAGGCUACGGCUUAACCGUAGUAAGCCUUUGAAACUGACAGGCUUGAGUGCAGGAGAGGAAAGUGGAAUUCCUAGUGUAGCGGUGAAAUGCGUAGAUAUUAGGAGGAACACCAGUGGCGAAGGCGACUUUCUGGACUGUAACUGACGCUGAGGCACACAAGCGUGGGGAGCGAACAGGAUUAGAUACCCUGGUAGUCC